rnacentral:lncRNA from 1 species
UAAAUAACGCACCCAUCAAGAAAUAAAAUAUUAAGUGGCCUCGCCGACACCAAAUGGAGAUCGUAAGUGUAGAAGAAGAGGGACUGUCAAACAGUUUUCACAUUGAAGACUCCUUACCACUGAAACUGGUCAUGUCUGUGGUUGUUUACCACCCCCUAUUACAUUCACCCUUGGCUAUGUACGGAGUGUCGACUAUGGAGAUCCUCCCAGAUUCUUCUUGUUGAGAUUUUGAGCGUCUUUCUUCGAUUUCCGAAGGGAGGACCAUGCCUAAAAUUAAGAGCCAAGGGACCACUUUGAAGCUGGUUUUCAAGAUUUGAGUGCUCUGUGUAGAAAAAUGAACUUGUGGAUGCAUAUAAUCAUAUGAACCGAGCAAGGACACUCUAUCGUAUCAUAUCAUGUGCAUAAAGUAGGGGCGAAGACGUGCUGUUUGAUUGUGCCAGAAAAGUUAAACAAACAGCAAGAUGUUCCUAUGGAUUAGGCAUGUGAGGCGAAAUAAUAAAUGAUUCCUCUUUUCAUUUGUAGAGACAGGAUCAAGGAUUAGAUUACCUUUUGAUCGUGACAACAUACAAAAUUAGAGGACAACAUGGGCGGUGGCUGUUCGGAUUUGGUGCUAAUAUAGCAGAGAUAUGAGCUGCUUUUAUGGCUUAUCCUGUGCUAGGCAGUUGGGGUAUUGUAAAGUGGAAUUAGAGAUUGAUUCAGCAGUUUUAGCAGCUGUUUAACGAGUAAAGAAUGAUGUUUUCAUGGCUGAUACUCGAUCUCAUGUUCGAGCUUCGAUAUCUCAUUUCUUGAGACUGAGAGAUUCAAAUUCCACACAUUUUCUGAGAGAGCAAUCGGUGUGCAGAUUGAUUUACUAACCAUAGUCAUGGAUUGAGAGUAGGGGUGCUUUCUCUUGGUG